GCAUAAAUAAUUAUCUAAACAUAAGAACCAUAAAUAAAAUAUCAUGCAAUAAUAUCAGACAGUAACUACCAUAAAUAACUAACAUAAGGGAGACGCAAUCCAAUACACAAAUCCUCUAUGGAUAGCCCUGCCAAGCCUCACCCAACCCCGGGUGAGGAGUACGAAAAACUCUAGGGACCCUUAUCCUACAACCCUGAUACUAGACCUCCAGACUUUCCUAUCAAAGGCCAUGUCCUCGGGAACCCGCAUACUAGCCAUGUCAUUCCUAAUCACCUCUUCCCAAUACCUCUUAGGCCUCCCUCUACCUCGCCGAACGCCGAUCAUCGUCAGCCGUUCACAACUCCUCACCGGGGCAUCAGGACUUCUCCUUCGCACAUGCCCGAACCACCUCAGCCUCGCUUCUCGCAUCGAUUACUUAAAUGGUCACUCAACUAUUCAAAAUUAUUUAAUAAAGUUAUUUUCUAUCGUUUGUAACAAAAAAAUCACUUAACUAUACCUAUUGCACUCAGAAAGUCACUCAACUAAAUUUCUCAAACUUUUGAUUGCCAAAAUACCUAUUUUACCCUAUAAAUUAUCAACUUUUGCCCUUUUUGUUUAUUUCUUUAUAAGGUCUUUUGCCCUCUUUUUUUUUUUUUCUUUUUAUUUGUUUCUCUUUUAAAUUUAUGUUAUGGACUUACUUAAACAAUAAAUAAAUUUUAUUUAUAAAAUAAAAAAUAAAAUAGUAUUUAAUCAUAUAUAAUAAUGGAAUAAUAAAAUACUGAUCAUAGUAAAAAAAUUAAUUAGAAUAAUUUGUUUUUUUUAAUAAUUUUGAUAUUAACAACAAAAACUCAAACAUUUAUUUGCAUAAUUAAGAAUGAAAGAAAAUAAAAAAAAUUAAAAUACAUAUCCCAUGCACGUAAUAAUAAAAAAUAAUUAUUUAAAAUAGAGGUAUAUUUUAUAAUAUAUAGUAUUACAUAUUCUUGAAAAAUAUGCUCAAUUAUUUUAUUAUUCCGAUUAUAUAUGCUAGGAAACUAAUUUUUCAUUCUUUUAUAGUUUAAAAAUAAAAUUAUUGGUUCUAUAAAUAAGUCUGUAAUGUAAAAGUGGGGUCUGGGGAGGGUAAUAUGUAGACGAGCCUUACCCCUACCCGAAAAGGCAGAGAGGCUAUUUCCAAUCGACCCUCAGCUCAAUGAAGGAAAGGAACAACAAAACAAAAACAAAAGAGCAUUAGUAAUUUCAGCAGAAUGGAUAUCCCUGCCAAGCCUCACCCAACCCCGGGAGAAUAGUACGAAAAACUCUAGAGGCCCUUAUCCUACAUCCCUGAUACUAGACCUCCAGACUUUCCUAUCAAGGGUCAUGUCCUCAGAAACCCGCAUUCUAGCCAUGUCUUGCCUUAUCACCUCUCCCCAAUACCUCUUAGGCCUCCCUAUCGUGCUAUAUUAAUCCAAGAGACAAAGAAUUCGAUUUCAUUACUUAAAUGGUCACUCAACUAUUCAAAAUUAUUUAAUAAAGUUAUUUUCUUUCGUUUGUAACA
rnacentral:lncRNA from 1 species